GUCCUCGCCGAGCUGGGAGUUAGGAUCCGAGGGGGCCAAGAGGGAUAAGAAAACUUCUCUGGGUGCCCACGUGGUACUGAGCGCCCUUGGGAGGGCUCUGGAGAAGACCAUCGCCUUCCAGGGUAGCUCCCUCCCUCAAAGGUUUGAGAUCAUGGUCCAGUUCUCGGGUCUCCCAGCCUCAGUUUCCCCAUUUGUAGGAAAGGCGUUCACAGCCUCUAUCUCAGAGGAGGCUUUGAGGAUUCAGAGAGCUCAGAAGAGGGGAAGGAAACUGAGGUCCAGAAAAGUUAUGACUCGCCCCAAGGGGAUUGCCUGGCAGGACGUGAAGGGGAAGAGGCCCACCCUGGAGUAACCCUCACUGGAGAAUCCAGAGGUGAGAUGAGCCUUGUACCUAUCUCAGCAGAGGGAGUAGGAUAAUAUUUAAAUAUUAAGGGUGGGGAGAAGGAAUGAAGGCAAGAAAUAAAAUGCCCAAAAUGCCCCAAACGCCAUCCGGACCAUAAAAGUGAUGGCGAUAGUGUUGGACUUAGGAGCUCAAAGAUGCUAACCUUGACAGGCCUG
rnacentral:lncRNA from 1 species